rnacentral:sRNA from 1 species
UAGUUUACCGAGUCGUGCAGGAUGAAGAACCGGAGAGGUUCGAGCAUCGCGCAGCGAUACGACAACGCUCAGCGUUGCCCGCAGGGUGAGGCCACAGGCCGAAUCAAUCCUGCACGACCCACCC